rnacentral:rRNA from 1 species
AGCGCAGGUGGUUGUAUAAGUCUGAAGUAAAAGGCAGUGGCUCAACCAUUGUGUGCUUUGGAAACUGUACAACUUGAGUGCAGAAGGGGAGAGUGGAAUUCCAUGUGUAGCGGUGAAAUGCGUAGAUAUAUGGAGGAACACCGGUGGCGAAAGCGGCUCUCUGGCCUGUAACUGACACUGAGGCUCGAAAGCGUGGGAGCAAACA